AGCUCCAAUAGCGUAUAUUAAAGUUGUUGCAGUUAAAAAGCUCGUAGUUGGAUUUCUGGCAGGAGCGACCGGUCGCGCACUAUGUGCGUGAACUUGGCUGUCUCUGGCCAUCCUUGGGGAGAUCCUGUUUGGCAUUAAGUUGUCGGGCAGGGGAUACCCAUCGUUUACUGUGAAAAAAUUAGAGUGUUUAAAGCAGGCUUAUGCCGUUGAAUAUAUUAGCAUGGAAUAAUAAGAUAGGACUUCGGAACUAUUUUGUUGGUUUGCGUUACGAAGUAAUGAUUAAUAGGGACAGUUGGGGGUAUUCGUAUUCCGUUGUCAGAGGUGAAAUUCUUGGAUUUCCGGAAGACGAACUACUGCGAAAGCAUUUACCAAGGAUGUUUUCA
rnacentral:rRNA from 1 species